AUUGAACGCUGGCGGCAUGCCUUACACAUGCAAGUCGAACGGCAGCACGGAGCUUGCUCUGGUGGCGAGUGGCGAACGGGUGAGUAAUAUAUCGGAACGUACCCAAGAGUGGGGGAUAACGUAGCGAAAGUUACGCUAAUACCGCAUACGAUCUAAGGAAGAAAGCAGGGGACCGCAAGGUCUUGUGCUACUGGAGCGGCCGAUAUCUGAUUAGCUAGUUGGUGAGGUAAAGGCCCACCAAGGCAUCGAUCGGUAGCUGGUCUGAGAGGACGACCAGCCACACUGGAACUGAGACACGGUCCAGACUCCUACGGGAGGCAGCAGUGGGGAAUUUUGGACAAUGGGGGCAACCCUGAUCCAGCAAUGCCGCGCGAGUGAAGAAGGCCUUCGGGUUGCAAAGCUCUUUUGUCAGGGAAGAAACGGUCGUGGCUAAUAUCCAUGGCUAAUGACGGUACCUGAAGAAUAAGCACCGGCUAACUACGUGCCAGCAGCCGCAGUAACAC
rnacentral:rRNA from 1 species